GAUGAACGCUGGCGGCGUGCCUAAUACAUGCAAGUCGAGCGAAGCGGGGACGGGUGAGUAACACGUGGAUAACCUCCUCUAAGACUGGGAUAACUUCUGGAAACCGGAGCUAAACCGGAUACUUAUACAUGGAUCCGCGCGGCAUUGGCUAGUUGGUAAGGUAACGGCUUACCAAGGCAACGAUGCAUAGCCGACCUGAGAGGGUGUUGGGACACACGGGAACUGAGACACGGUCCAGACUCCUACGGGAGGCAGCGUUAGGGAAUCUUCCGCAAUGGGCGAAAUCCUGACGGAGCAACGCCGCGUGGGUGAUGAAGGUUUUCGGAUCGUAAAACUCUGUUAUUAGGGAAGCGGUACCUAAUCAGAAAGCCACGGCUAACUACGUGCCAGCAGCCGCGGUAAUAC
rnacentral:rRNA from 1 species